GUGCCAGCAGCCGCGGUAAUACAGAGGUGGCUAGCGUUGUUCGGAUUUAUUGGGCGUAAAGGGUCCGUAGGCGGCCUGAAAAGUCGGAUGUGAAAGCCCACAGCUCAACUGUGGAACGGCAUUCGAAACUUUCAGGCUCGAGUGUGAAAGGGGUAAGGGGAAUUCCCGGUGUAAGGGUGAAAUCUGUAGAGAUCGGGAAGAACACCAGUCGCGAAGGCGCCUUACUGGUUCACAACUGACGCUGAGGGACGAAAGCUAGGGGAGCAAACGGGAUUAGAUACCCCCGUAGUCC
rnacentral:rRNA from 1 species